rnacentral:rRNA from 1 species
CCUACGGGUGGCAGCAGUGAGGAAUAUUGGUCAAUGGGCGGAAGCCUGAACCAGCCAAGUAGCGUGAGGGAUGAAGGCCCUACGGGUCGUAAACCGCUUUUGUAGGGGGGUAAAACCCUCCACGUGUGGAGGAUUGAAGGUACCGGACGAAUAAGCGUCGGCUAAUUCCGUGCCAGCAGCCGCGGUAAUACGGAGGGUGCGAGCGUUAUCCGGAUUUAUUGGGUUUAAAGGGUGCGUAGGCGGAGGUUCAAGUCAGCUGUAAAAUCGCGGGGCUCAACCCCGCCCCGCCGUUGAAACUGGAUGCCUUGAGUACACGAGAGGCAGGCGGAAUUCGUGGUGUAGCGGUGAAAUGCAUAGAUAUCACGAAGAACCCCGAUUGCGAAGGCAGCCUACCGGCGUGCGACUGACGCUGAUGCACGAAAGCGCGGGUAUCGAACAGGAUUAGAUACCCUUGUAGUC